rnacentral:rRNA from 1 species
UACGAAGGGAGCUAGCGUUGUUCGGAAUUACUGGGCGUAAAGGGCGCGUAGGCGGCCAUGUAAGUUAGAUGUGAAAGCCCCGGGCUUAACCUGGGAACUGCAUUUAAGACUGCAGGGCUAGAGGACGAGAGAGGAAAGUGGAAUUGUGAGUGUAGAGGUGAAAUUCGUAGAUAUUCACAAGAACACCAGUGGCGAAGGCGACUUUCUGGCUCGUAUCUGACGCUAAGGCGCGAAAGCGUGGGGAGCAAACAGG